GACGGAGGGGGCUAGCGUUGUUCGGAAUUACUGGGCGUAAAGGGCGCGUAGGCGGAUUAGUAAGUUGGAAGUGAAAUCCCGGGGCUUAACCUCGGAACUGCUUUCAAAACUGCUAAUCUAGAGUAAAGUAGGGGAUGAUGGAAUUCCUAGUGUAGAGGUGAAAUUCUUAGAUAUUAGGAGGAACACCGGUGGCGAAGGCGAUCAUCUGGGCUUUUACUGACGCUGAGGCGCGAAAGCGUGGGGAGCAAACAGG
rnacentral:rRNA from 1 species